AUAAGUUCACUCAUAAGUCUACAUAGGAUUCUGCUCAUAAGUUCGCAUACAAACCUCUCAUAAGUUAGGUAAUAAUUUGAUCAAGUAUUUUAUUUUAUUUUUUUUUUUUUUGGAGUGGAACUAUGUUUAGAACAAUGUUAAACAUUAAAAAUUUUUAAAUUGUGUAAAAAGAUUAAAAUAAGUACAAAUUUAAACACAAAUAAAUAAAAUUUAAAAUAUGUGUAUAAUAGUUAUAUCAUUUUUAUAUUUUUAAAAAACAAAAAAUAUAAAAAGUGUCUUCUUAAAUUAUAAAAAAAUAAAAAACAAAAAUUGGAAAUUAUUAAUAGUUUUUUAUUUUUUUUUUUUUAUUUUGUCACAUUGAGUUAAAAAAAUAAAUUUGGUUAUAAUAAAAAAUUGCUUUAUUUUACUUUAAUUAUUCAUGUAUUCAUUUCUUUUAUUACAACUUAAGCAAAAUUUUACAAAUGAACAGGGAAACUACACAAAAUUUUAAAUAUUGUAUACAAUUACCACUACUUUAUUCAACACAAUCAAAAAAAAUAACCUCAAAAAAAAGAGUUCUGAAAAAAUAGAAAUCGAAAAAGAAAUCGAAAAAGAAAUCGAAAAAGAAAUCGAAAAAGAAAUCGAAAAAGAAAUCGAAAACGAAAUCGAAAAAGAAAAUAAAAACAAUAGCAAAACAAAUAAAAAUAUAAAUAAAAAAACAAACAAAGAUAAGAACGAAAAAAAUAGAAUAUAGCUUAUAUGAAAAUAGCUCUGAAAUCGAAUCUUAUGCUCAUAAUAACGAGUAUAAUAACACUGGUAUGAACAAUUAUAUGGAAGAAAAUAAAACGAAGAACAAUAAGAAUACAAGUAGUGUUGCUACUACUGCUAUUAACGAUACUAAUAAUAAUGAUGAUAAUAAAAUGGGUAAAAAUAACAUAACAAAUAAUUCAUACGAAUGUAAAAAAAGAGAAAAUGAUCAGGAUAUAUUUUUAUCGAGUAGUUAUAUGGCAGAAUCAAAUACCGAAUCUGCGUAUAUUAGUAAUGAUAUAAAGGAUAUGAAUGUUACUACAUAUUAUAAUGGUAAAAACGUUGGCAUUGGUCAAGAUAUUGAUAGUAACAAAAAUGUUGACAACACUAACAAUAACAGUAGCCUGUAUGGUAACGCUUCUUACUAUGAUGAAACGUUACAAGAGGAAACGUUACAAGACGAAAUGUUACAAGACGAAAUGUUACAAGACGAAAACGAAAUAAGCGACAUAUCAACAGAUGAAAUUUUAAGCAACAUAAGUAGUGAUAGUUCUUUUAUGGAAGCAGAUGAAUAUAGUUAUAACAAUCAUGAUGAAAAAAAAAAAGAAACAACGUAUGAAUAUAUACGAAACAAUGGAAUUUAUGAACUAUCUGUUAAUAUUAAAAAUAAAGAAAAAGAGUUAGAAAAAGAAAAUAAGAAUAUAUGGAAAUUGAAGAAUAGAUUUAACAAACUUGAAAAAGCUAUAAUUGUAAAAAAAAAAUAUAUUGAAAAACUUAAAAAGAAUAUAGAUGAAAAAAAAAAAAUGGAAGAAACUGAAUCUAUGAUAUGUAAGAAUAUUGAAAUUCAAAAUAAUUUUUUAGUUAAUGAAUGUAAAAAAUUGAAAGAAAAAAAAAAAAAAAAUCAAAAGAAUAUUAUAAAAGUAGAAAAUGACUUAAACGUUUAUGAUAAUGAUAUAAUUGAUAUAAAAAACAAAUUAAUGCAUAAAGAAUCUGAAUUAAAAGAAUGGGCAUUUGUAAUUAAUAAAACUCAAAAAGAAGAAUAUGAAAUUGAAAAAUGUAAAUUAUCAAAAGAUAAAGAAAUAAAGAAUUUGUCAUAUAUGCUUGAAAAAUUAAAUUUAGAAAAAGUAGCAGAAGAAAAAAAUUUAAAUAUAAUAAGAACUAAAAAUUUAAAAUUAAGUAUAGAAUUAGACUCACUUAUAAAAUUAAAUAAAGACAAAAAAGAAGAAAAAAAAAAAUUAAAAGAAAAUUGGGAGUGUGUAGUUAAUACAAUACAUAGUAGAGAUAGUACUAUUUUUAAAUUUGAAGGGGAUUUUCGAAAAUAUAUGAAUAAAAAAAAUAAUUUAAAAAAGAAAUGUGAGUAUAUAGAUACUAUUGUACUUGUGGAAAAAAAAAAAAAAAAUGAACAAUUAAAUAAUGAAAUAAAAAAAUUAAAUGUAAAUUUAACAAAGCUAAGAAAAGAAGAAAUUAGUUUAGAAGAAAGCUACAAUCAAUUAGUACUUGAAAAUGAUAUUUUAAUUAAAAGUUAUGAUUCUGAAUAUUUGUGUUAUAAAGAAAAAGUAGAAGAAACAAAAAAUUUAGAAAAAUUAUUAAAUGAAUUAAAUAAAACAUAUGAAAAACUAAUUGAACGUUCGAACGAAUCUAAAAAUGAAUUAAAAUCAGAAGCAUUAAAAAAAAUUACGAAAAAUGAAUAUAUAAAAUCUAGUGAAAAAAUCAUAAAUGCUGAGAAAGAUAAAUUAAAUGGAUUAUUUAAUGAUAUAAAAAUGUUAGAUGAAGAGAAAUUUAUUUUAGCCCAAAACUUACAAAACAGUAAAAAUGAAUAUAACACUUUAGAAUCUAAUAUAUUAGGAACACAAAUUAAAAUUAAACAAAUGAUAACUAAAAUUAAAAAAUUAGAAAAAGAAAUUGAAAGGCAAAAAGAAAUUAUGUAUAAAUUUGAAUUCCUUACUCAAGUUUUAACAAAAAAAUUAAAUGUUGUAACCGGGACUGGUGUUUUUAAAAAAAAAAAAGAAAAUCAAAAAAAAAUCAUGUCUUUGAAAAAAGAACUUUACCAAAAUGAAGAAAUUUUUAAUACAUUAAUCAAUGAUAUAAAAAGAAUCAACGUCGAAUUAAAAAAUAUAAAAAUAUAUCAAAACAAUUUAAAAGAACAAAAUAUGAAUACUACUCAAAAAUGUAAUGAAAUACAACUAGAUAUUAAAGCUUUAGAACAUAAUUUAGCUGUCGAAAAUAAAGAAAAAGAAAAUAUUAUGUUAAUUGAAUUAAACCUCAAACUAGAAUUUGAUAAAAUUAAAACAGCUUUUGAAAAACAUUUAACUAAUUUAAAUUUUUUAAAAGAUGAAAACAAAACAAAUAUAAAAAAUGCUAAAUUAAAUGAACAAGAUAUGAAAGCACAAUUAGAGUCAUAUAAAAUUAUUAUAAAAAAUAUAAAUGAAGAAAUACAUAAAUUAAAUAUGUUAUCUGUUGAUAAAAAAACGAAAUGUACUAAUUUGGAAACGAAAUUAGACAAUAUGAAUGCACUCCAGAUAGACAAAGAUGAAAUGGGGAAAGACGGAAACAAAGCAAUUUAUUAUAAAAUGAAAAUAGAAGAAGAUAUCAUAAAAUUAAAAACAGAAAUACUUCAGUUAGAUAAUAAAAUUAAAAAAGAAGAAAGUGAAAAAGAAAAUUAUGAAAAAACAUUAAAUGAUAUUAUACAAACAAAUAAAAUGUUUAGUGAUAAUGUGAUGCAAUCUAUAGAUCCUAAUUAUAAAAUACUUUUAAAAAAAAAAAAUAAAUUAGAAAAAAAAUUAACUAGUAUUAAUGAACAAAUAACAAUAUUAGAAAAAGAUAUUAAUACGUAUAACAAAAAAAUGGAACAUUCAGAAACACAAAUAAACCAAAUAAUACUUGACAGUAAAAACAUGGAAGACAAAAUAGUAAGCAUAAAAGAAAAUUGUAAUAAAAUGCACAAUACAUUAAAUGAUAUUUUUAUUAAAAUUGAAAGAACUUCUAAUCAAUUAAAAGGUCUUAUUUCUAACAAAAAAGAAAAAACGUCAAAAAUUCAAAAAAAAAAUAAUGUCGAUGCAAGUGAAAAUGACGACGAUGAAACCGUUACGGCAGGUAAUAGCAAUAAUGAACAAGUAUCUUUAGAAAAAAAGGUUUUCAAACAAAUACAAACGGAGUCAUUAAAAGAUAAAUUAUCGCUUCUUUUGGAGUGUUUUAAAGAUUAUGGCGAUAAUACUAUCAUAAAAGAAACCCUUCACAUUAUAGAAACUUCUUAAAAAACACGCCUAACGUACAAAUAUGUACUUACGUACGUAUGUACGUGCGAAAUACAUGUUUAUAUGUGUUUAAACAGACUACAUUUGUUACGUUUACUUUAAUGUAAAAUACAUACAUAUAUAUAUAUAUAUAUAUAUAUAUAAUUCGUGUUUUUUCUUCUUUUUUAUGUUAUCCGACGAUGUAACUAUUAAGCAAUUUUACACACAUAUAUAUACUUACAUAUAAACACAUAUAUGCAUACAUUCAUACAUAUGAAUAUUCUUUUAUUAUUAUUUUUUUUUUUUUUUGAUCAUAUAUUUUUCAAAAUCUCCAGGUUGGUGGUUAGUAUGCAUAAAAACAAAAAAGACCGACCGACCGACCGACCGACCAUAACCAUACUUUUAAACUUUUUACACAAAACUUAGCAUAUAGGGAAAAAAAAAAAUGUUAAUAAAUUAACUUUACAAUUUGUAGCUAAUACA
ensembl:lncRNA